rnacentral:antisense_RNA from 1 species
GUCCUAAGAGGGGGCAGGACUUCAGUGAAUUUACAUUGGGUCAAUGUCUUGUCCUCAGAAACACAAACAGCAGAAUGGCUCCAUCUCUGUUGGAGACUUCCAUCAACUAGAACCACGAGGACUGAUGGACAGACCACAAGGCCAGUUUGUUCCAGUUCAGUGCUUAAAAGAACCACAGAUGACCAGGCACGGUGGCUCACGCCUGUAAUCCCAGCACUUUGGGAGCCCGAGAGACAGAGUUUCACCGUGUUAGCCAGGAUGGUCUCGAUCUCCUGACCUGGUGAUCCGCCCGCCUUGGCCUCCCAAAGUGCUGGGAUUACAGACAUGAGCCACUGCGCCCGGCCAAAACCCUGCUUUUAAUAAAGUGUGAAAUGGUAAAAAGAACCUCUCUUUUUUUUUAAGUUUUCUAUUUGUAUAAAUGUAUAGGGCACAAGUAUUGUUUUGUUACAUGCAUAGAGUGUGUAGUGGUGAAUUCAGGGCUUUUUGGGAGAACCUCUCUUCUUACACGUCAGUGGAGUACUUAUUGAUAACACUACACUUAAUAGUAAUGUCCAUUAUUAGUGUUACGACCCACUGAUAUAGAGACCUGUUUCACACUUAACUAACAGGACUUUCUUAAAACUCCAAAAAAGGAUCUGCUUUGAUAAUUCUGCUAGGAGAUCCAAGUGGGUGGGUGGAUCUGCUAGCACCACUCCUCAAGUGUUUCAGUGUUCAGUCUGGGGUAGAUCCAGUUAGCAGAGAAGAGUUUUAUGCAAUGGUUUGGACUAGAGUUUGGAAUUUGGCAGUCAUCACUGGAAAAAUGAAUUUCUACCUGUUCUGAAUCAAAACAAAAACAAGCCAUGUGCAGUGCACACCUGUAGUCCCAGCUACUUGGGAAGUGACUUGAGAGGAUCACUUGAGCCCAGGAGUUCCAGUCCAGCCUGAGCAACACAGUGAGACCUUCAUCUCUAAAAAGCAAAUAAAAAUAAAAAACACCAAAACAACCA